GGCAAAACGGAUAGGGGUAAGAUUGGGGUUUGGGUAGGGUUAGGUGUUGGGGUAGGGUUAGAAAUAGUGUUAGGUUCGGUUUAGGUUAGGAGUAGUGUUAGGGUAGGGUUAUGGGUAGGGUUGGGGUAGGGUUAGGAGUAGGGUCAGGGUAGGGUUAGGGUUGGGCUAGGAGUAGGGUUCGAAUUAGGGUAGGGUUAGGAGUAGGGUUAAGGGUAUGGUUUGAGUUAGGUAAGGAGUAGGGGUAGGGUUAGGAGUAGGGUUUGGGAUAGGGGUAGGGUUAGUGGUAGGGUUAGGAGUAGGGUUAUGGUUACGGUUAGAAGUAGGGUUAAGGUACCUCUACCCCUAACCCUACUCCUAACC